GCAGACAGGAGAAGUCUGACUUGGAAGAUUUAUUUGUCCAAAAACAAAGUGCAAAUUAACAAAGGGAGUCCUGAGAGGGGCAGGCAAAAACUAAUCCAGAGUGUAGUAAACAGGGAAUCCAAAAAACAAGAGCAGAACAAACCAGAAACUUGAGACCAAAGGAAAUCCAGGGAGCAAAGAACCAGACACGAACUGACACAGGGCGACACGACAGGCACAAGCAAACACAA